rnacentral:rRNA from 1 species
GACGAACGCUGGCGGCGUGCCUAAUACAUGCAAGUAGAACGCUGAAGGAGGAGCUUGCUUCUCCGGAUGAGUUGCGAACGGGUGAGUAACGCGUAGGUAACCUGCCUGGUAGCGGGGGAUAACUAUUGGAAACGAUAGCUAAUACCGCAUAAGAGUAGAUGUCGCAUGACAUUUGCUUAAAAGGUGCAACUGCACCACUACCAGAUGGACCUGCGUUGUAUUAGCUAGUUGGUGAGGUAACGGCUCACCAAGGCAACGAUACAUAGCCGACCUGAGAGGGUGAUCGGCCACACUGGGACUGAGACACGGCCCAGACUCCUACGGGAGGCAGCAGUAGGGAAUCUUCGGCAAUGGACGGAAGUCUGACCGAGAAACGCCGAGUGAGUGAAGAAGGUUGUCGGAUCGUAAAGAUCUGUUGUAAGAGAAGAAAGAGUGUGAGAGUGGAAAGUUCCCACUGUGACGGUAUCUUACCAGAAAGGGACGGCUAACUACGUG